rnacentral:misc_RNA from 1 species
UUUCCGUAGGUGUACCUGCGGAAGGAUCAUUAAAAAUGUGGUACCAUUAUUGGUACUAAUUAAUCAUCCUACCCUUUGUGAAUUUGUUUAUGAAUUUUUUAAAUGGGUCUUUCCCUAAGUUGGAUUGUAGUAAAAUACAAAAAGACUUAGGGGAAUGACUUUUUUAAAAGACUUUUUUUAAUUAAAACUUUUGUAUUCAUUUGUCUAAAAUUUAUUUUAUAAUAUAAAACAACUUUUGACAAUGGAUCUCUUGGUUCUCGCAACGAUGAAGAACGCAGCAAAAUGCGAUAAGUAGUGUGAAUUGCAGAUACGUGAAUCAUCGAAUCUUCGAACGCAUAUUGCACUUUUUAGUUUACUAAAAAGUAUGUCUGUUUGAGUAUCAGUAAAUAUUCUCACAACAUUAUGUUUGUGGUUAUGAGUGUUUUACAACGAUAAACAAGUUGUUUCACUUUAAAUUCUUUUUAAUUGAAUUUUACCAAUUCAUAAAUUAAAAUUGGAUAAAUUUUCCUUUAACGAGGAAUAACUAAACAAUUUUAAAUUUAUGGAUUAAUAACAUUCAACAAAGGAAUCUAUAUACAUAAAUAACUUGAUCUCAAUCAGAUAAGAGUACCGCUGAACUUAAGCAUAUCAAUAAGCGGAGGAAAAGAAACUAACAAGGAUUCCCUUAGUAACGGCGAGUGAAGCGGGAAGAGCUCAAAUUUGAAAUCUCAAGGUUUGACCUUGACGAAUUGUAGUUUAUAGAAGUGUUUUCUGUUGGAGUUUUGGUAAAAGUUCUUUGGAAUAGGACAUCAUAGAGGGUGAGAAUCCCGUAUUUGACCAUGACUUUCCAGCUGUGUGAUACACUUUCAAAGAGUCGGAUUGUUUGGAAUGCAGUCCAAAAUGGUGGUAAAUUUCAUCUAAAGCUAAAUAUUGGCGAGAGACCGAUAGCGAACAAGUACCGUGAGGGAAAGAUGAAAAGAACUUUGAAAAGAGAGUUAAACAGUACGUGAAAUUGUCAAAGGGAAGCGUUUGACACCAGUGUUGUUUUCUCGAAAUCAAUUUAAUGAGUUCUUGUUUUAAGUUAUUGUGACUUUAUCAGCGCAUUUCUUAUUUUACUUGACUCAUUGAAUGCACUUUUCGUUUAACAAGUCAACAUCAACUUCUUUGUGGUAAAAAGUUAAGGAAGGUGGCUUGGACUUCGGUUCAGUGUUUAUAGCCUUUUUCUAUGCCAUCGGAGAGAUUGAGGUCUGCAGCGUAGAUCCUUCGGGGUUAGAUACCUUUGUGCUAAGUUAUAGUUUUUUAUAGACAACUUGUUGACUAUAAUUAACCCUGUAAUUACUCGCUUAGGCUAUUUUACCUACGCUUAGGAUGUUG